rnacentral:sRNA from 1 species
GCCGUGAGGUGUUGCCUUAAGUGGCGCAACGAGCGCAACCCCUGUUCCUAGUUGCCAGCGGGUAAUGCCGGGAACUCUAGGGAGACUGCCGGUGCCAAACCGGAGGAAGGUGGGGAUGACGUCAAGUCAUCAUGCCCCUUAUGUCCAGGGCUGCGCACAUGCUACAAUGCGUGGUACAGAGGGCUGCGAUCCCGCAAGGGGGAGCGAAUCCCAGAAAGCCACGCUCAGUUCGGAUCGGGGUCUGCAACUCGACCCCGUGAAGUCGGAGUCGCUAGUAAUCGCGGAUCAGCAACGCCGCGGUGAAUACGUUCCCGGGCCUUGUACACACCGCCCGUCACACCACGAAAGUCGGUAACACCCGAAGCCGGUGGCCCAACCGCAAGGAGGGAGCCGUCGAAGGUGGGAUCGGCGAUUGGGGUGAAGUCGUAACAAGGUAGCCGUACUGGAAGGUGCGGCUGGAUCACCUCCUUUCUAAGGAGUCAUUGGCACCCGGACGAUCCUCCCCGAGCUCGCCUCGAGGAGCGUGACAUCCGGAAGCUCCAGGUCGAUGCACUGGCUAUUCUUUUGACGAUCCCAACCGGCCGGCAUGGUCAGUAGUCACGCGUUCCUUCCAUUCGUUUUCUUAGAUGGUGGAGGGCGUGGCGAACGGAUGCCGAUCGGUCGGAGGCGUCAUCAGGACACACUGUUCAGCUUUGAGGGUGCGAGCCCUCGAGCACCUUGAGAACUCGAUAGCGAGCGCGAGCAUCUAUAAGUCAAGUUACGAAGGGCUUACGGUGGAUGCCUUGGCGCCAGGAGCCGAUGAAGGACGCGUCAGGCUGCGAAAAGCUUCGGGGAGCCGCCGAGAAGGCUGAGAUCCGAAGGUGU